CCCUUAGAUGUUCUGGGCCGCACGCGUGCUACACUGAACGGUUCAAUGGGUAAGGUAGUGCGAAAGCAUGACCUAAUCUCGAAAUCCGUUCGUGCUGGGGAUAGAAGCUUGCAAUUAUCCUUCUUGAACGAGGAAUACCUUGUAAGCGUGAGUCAUCACCUCACGCUGAAUACGUCCCUGCCCUUUGUACACACCGCCCGUCGCUCCUACCGAUUGAGUGUUCCGGUGAAGAUCUCGGACUUCGAUAUUUAUUCUUUAUUGAGUUUAUAUUGUGGGAAGUUAUCUAAACCUCAUCAUUUAGAGGAAGGUGAAGUCGUAACA
rnacentral:rRNA from 1 species